GAAAAGGAUACCAUUUUCCUGAUGGGCCGUUUGUUGAGUAUAAAGGCACAAUCCCACCAAAUGAAUUGCAAAAUAAACAAAAGGAGCUGGAAAUUGCAGCGAAUGCAUUAAUUUCUAAUGGAGGGAAAGUGUCAGCUGCUGUUUUACCAUAUGAAGAAGCUUAUGAAAUGUGUGGAGGAUCCCUUCCUACUUACAUAUCCAAGGUCAGA